UUACAGUUUAGAUGACAUUUAUAUAUAAUAAUUUGAUUAUAUGUAUAAGACAUUUAUGUAUUCUUGUUUGCAGUAAUCAUGGUUUAAUAAUUCAGUGCGAGAAGAAAUAUAGUCCAGCAGUAGCAGUUUUCAUUAGUUGAGAAAUUUAAUAAGCAAUAAAAAGGAAGAGACUAUACGAACCAUCCAGGAUCAUUUUGACGGCGAUAGCUGUGGGAUACCCGACGGUACGCGCCAUCGCAGAGUGUCCAGCAGUGUCUCCAUAGAGCACCAAGUUGAUCCCUCUGGAUUCCCUCCUAUUGUCCGGCCAAAGUAUACUUAUGUCGUGCCUCAGUAUUACUAAAUCCCGUUCGUUCUUCUCGUAAUAGAGCUUCUUCGACAAGUAGUGGGUAAGCGUGUCGAGAGGAGUGUUUAGUUUCAAGACCAAGUCCUCCUGCAGAAGACCAAGAUCCUCGAUGGCCUUGACGCGUUCCCACGAAUUCACUCUUUCUGCCAAUUUCCUCUUCAGGUUUUCGUAGAAGAUAUUGUCGCUCGCCAGACCGAGUAGGUUGCACACCAACAUUCGCUAAAAUUUAGAAGUGACGAGCGAUUUAAAAGAGAGUCGAUACUUUUCAAACCUUAUGCACGUAAGAAAUUGAGAGAGCACUUACCCACGUGAUGUCCGGCCCGUUCGGAUGCAAGAUUGGAUCUGGAUUGGGAUCGAUUAGGCCGAGCAAUUGCAGACCCAACACCGUAUCUGAGAAGCCCUUGAACCUGAGCGUACCUCGUAGUACGGUAUUCGCGUUCUGCAAACCGUAGUAAUCCCUGUAGACGAUACUGUCGCGAUUGGGAAAGCCUUCCAGAGCGAAGCCAGGGAGGAAGUCUAGCUCUUGCACGGCGGACAUCAGAUCGCCGCCUCCGGCGAUCUCCACUUCCUGAAUGACGAAGAAAAAGGAUUAUCACCUGUCCUGCGUGAAGAUAUUUUGCAGGCGCCAAGGUAUUCAGCAAGGCACCUCGUGGAGACCAGCUGAAUUUAUAUCUCAGAGGAUUGUAGGAACACUCGGGCGCCGGCAGACCACCGCACCACGAGACGAAGGUUUCUAUCUUACCACCUGCUUGUCUCACGUCGUCGAAACAUUCAAUCGCCAAAAGAUGAUCGAUGCCCGGAUCCAAUCCAAUUUCGUUCAGUAUGGUGACGCCAGCUUGCUCGGCUCUGCGUAAGAAAACAAUACUUUAAUUAGUUGAUAUCUUAGCUAAACAUGUUAUUUUAGCGAUAAGGUAUCUACAUGUGUGUUUUUAAAUUCAUCAUUUUGAAUCUUGCAAUAAUAAAACACAAGUUAGAGUUUUGUAAUCGACUGCAAAAUUCCAGAAACUAAAAAUUUGUUGCUAUAAAAUUUACGUUAAAUGUAUGUAUCAGAGACACAUAAUCUCGUUUAUUUUGGAAGCACUCACUCUUCGUGUAAUGCUUUGACGUCAUCGUUCAUAUAACUAGCUGUCACCAAGUGAGUCUUAGUCUCGAUACAAGCUUUAGCGAUGACAUGAUGCAAUGAGUACGGCAACAGGGAAACCACCACGCUCGACGAUUUCACCACGUCGUGCAAGGUAUCCGGUCGAUCCAGUACGUUGAGGAAGACCGGCUCCACUCCUGGAAAUCGAUUGGCUAGCGCGUCAGCCUCGUCCUUCAAUUGUGAAGCCACCACCAGCCUUAUGUUCGUAUCCCUGUGCAGAUACUCGACCAAAGGUGCAGAGACGUAUCCCGCGCCGAGGACGACUACCUGUUAUCAAAUUUGUCAUCAUUUUCGUUAAUUAUUUCAUGAGAAAUAGAGACGUUUCUAUACCGUU